rnacentral:misc_RNA from 1 species
GUUUUAUUAUUAUUUUUUAAAUUCUAGGUCGAUUAGUUUUGGUUCCAUAAUAAAUAGGAAGAAAAAGGGCAUAUAAAGAAUUUGACUCAAGACUCCAAAAGAUAGAAUCAAGAAUGGGAUGGAAAUUUAUUUUCGUUAUUUGUUUCUGGAUAGUGAUUGAAGGAAAGUUAUCAAGGGAAUUCCAAUUGGCUAACCUAAGAAAGUGUUCACUUAAAUCAUGUUUAUUAGUGAACUUGGUUUAUUGAGUCAAUAUAUGAAAAAGGAUCUUGAAUCUAUUGGAAGUUGAUCUAAAGAUGAAUUUGCAUUUCAGGUUUUGCUUCCCAGUUAUGAUUUCUAUUGGGUUCAUUUCUUGAUAACCUUUUUUGUGUGCAAAAUUUUUUUGGUUGGGUAUGAAAAGCAGUCCCACGUGGAGUUUGUCCACUUUUAGAAUUUAAGCUCGUGAAUCACUUAUAUCCUUCUUCUGGAAUGUAAAACACUUAAUAGGACAUUAUCAGCCAUCAAGGUGGUUAAAAAUUAGGAUUCAGUGUCUCAGUCCAAAAUUUGUGAGAGAUCUUGAAAUAAAAUAGUAAAAUUAGAGUUGGGUGAUUCUACAGUUUCAUAUAAUUAAUUCUUGUGAAG